GGGUCAAAUCUUAUCCCCAAAUUAUUCCGGGGCUCAGAUUGGUGUGAAUGGGACGAGAAGGUCACUUGAAAUCGCCUUUUAUCCGCUGGCUUUUUUUUUUUGGAUCAGCAACUUUCAAUAGACAUAAUCUAAUCGCCCUUAAUGGAAAGGCCAUUCGUGAGAAAUAAUGGAAUUAUUCUUGUGUUUAUACAGGCCAUCGAGGCAUUUAAAAGGCAACAAGAGUUCACAAAAUUUCUUGGUUAUUAAUUAUUACUGAUAACUGAAAAGUGUCCCCCCCCCCACAGGAUGGGUUUAUAUAUAAACUUAUUGCAUAUUUAUGGUAUUACAAUUACCUUGUUAAUAUAUUAUUUCAUUAUUAUAGUGCAAUGCAAGUUUUUACGACUAUUGCUAUAAGUCAUAUUUUUGCCCUCAAUGGACUGUAGUUUAACUGUACUAUUACAUUACCCCAGUGUGAAUUAUCCUAGUUUGUAUGGAGAUAUCAUUGUCUAUUCUCUCAUUAUUUUUAACAUGUCCUCGCCUCUCCCGGGAUUUGAGAUCCUUCAGUUUUAGACGUAAUGAUUGAAAGUCUCUUUCCAGGAUUUUAGCAUCCCGGACUGUAAUUGAGGACAAUAACUGCAAUGACUUUCCAAAUUAGGCUUAAGGUUGGAGUAAAAGUUCGAGGGGCUGUCAGUUUAAGCCACAUGCAAUGGCUUUAUUGCUCACUAACCAUCAGUACUUUAGAGCCCAUAUGCUAAUUACUGCGGAUGGUCCCAGAAACGGAGAUUAUAAAUCCAUUAGCACCCAAACCCUCGUGGUUCCACACUGCAAACCCUGUAAUUCUGUAGUAUACCCCCCCGCACCCCCCCCCCCCCCCAAAAAAACAAACUUUAAGCACCAGGAGCUCCAUGAAGGGAAACAGAUUUUCAGCAGCGCGUGCAGCUACUUCUAACGGACCCACUGCGAAGGGAAGCCCAGCGUUUAUCAAUCAGCAGCUACACCGAAACACACACAGCAAAACAAGCAGAACACCACGGUAACUGACAGGGGGGGGGGGGGGACUGCCCACUCGGUGGCCAGUGGUAAUGUAUAAAAACAACCUGUUUGUAUUACCAUGAAUGAUCAACACAACACGCCCAUAACACUGUGGUGGAGAAAUCAUUUUUUCACCCCUCAUUACCAUUAGGGACGUGCAGAGUGUCCAGGGAGCGACGCCACAUAACGGAGGAAAGUGAAUUAAAAUUAGACGACGUAAUACCCGUUUGACCGCGUUUAAUGUGGGGAAUAGAAGAAAAAACCCAACGGAACCCAGACGGGUUUAUGUGAAUGCAUCACGCCCUUAAAGUAAUUUAUUUCAGGGAAACCAGAGGGCAAAGGUGGAAUUCUUGAGAAAUUCAACAAGGAUAAGGGAGCUUUAAGACUUCUGCACGCAGAUUACCUUUCAUCCCAUUCUCACAUUAUCCGACAACACACAGUAGAAAUGUAGCUCAGCGACAAAAGAGUGAGAUUACCCUCCGACACUGAAGAGUGCAAAACAUUUUUUUUAAAGAAUUAUUGCCAUUGUUAGUGGGAGCGAACGAGGAGAGAGAGAGAGAGAGAGAGAGGGGGAGGGAGAGAGAGAGAAACGGACAGAUAGGGCAGGGGAGGAAGAGGGGGAGUCAAGGGAAGGGUAAUUCCCUGUGUGCUUUCAAAGGGGGAGACAAAAAAAAUAAAACGAUUGCCGUUCAGAGAAUUUCUUGCCACUGUCGUAGUGUUGUAGUGAAGGAUCAAUUCAGUUUAAAAGAGUUUACCCUUGUUAUUCCCAUAAAACACUAUAUCUGUAAAGAUGACUUGAGGAUGAGAUUAAUUCUCUUCUGAUGACAGACUUUGUUUACACUGUUGGUUCUGAUGCCUGCAAAGAUUAUUGAAACAGGAUCAGUUUUUGCCUCUUUUUGGUUCAACUUGUUUAACUUCUGGUUUGUAACUUCAGUAAAUGAGUGGCAUCGCAUCAGCACUGCAUUAUUUUUGCUCUACCCUCCCGCGGCCCCCCAAAAAACAACAACACACAGCAAGGGCUAAAUUGGAAAUGCAUUGUAGCUGAACCAUCAGUAUGCCAGAGCUAAGACUGACUGAGCACACAGCCCUGUUUACAUCAGUAAAGAGAAAACAGAAGAAAAGUCCUCACAAACUGUCCGAGGAAGAUUGUCUUUGAUUGAACUGUUCGUUUACAUUUGUCAAGCUUGAAAAUAUUUCAUGUCAUGAAUGACACUUACAGGGUCAUCAAGUUAGUUUCACUUUAAUCUUAACCCACCUAAAAAAACCCUAAAAAUAUGUUUUCCCUUUAUAAUGCUAACAUAUAGCAAAGAGAUGGUUUGUUUUUUCAUAUUUCACUCAUUCCUGAUCGAAAAAAAUGCCCCGAACAUCUACAAACAUGCACAAAUCCCUAUUUGAUUUGUGUGUAUUUUCAUUUGAAAGGUGUGUAUCUGCUUUUAGCAUGAAGGGGCACAUGUGUGUAAAAAGACAGUGAAGUGAAGGUGGCCCAUGUUCAGUGUCCAGACGCGGCAGAUUGUGACCUUAUCAACGUGAAAUUCUUAAGAUAAAUUAUUCAUAGCACCUGUUUGAUGUCUCUGGCCAAAGAAUGACAAAGGUGUAAGAUUUAAGAUCCAUCUAAAACGGCAUAAAUAUCAGCCACUGUCUAUCUCUUUUUUUAGAGCAAAUAAAAAAGGAGUUAGGCUUCAUUUCAAACCACAAAAAUAAUACAUCACAGGUGUCCAGUAUUUACAGUAUGUCUUCCUGAUGUAUCCCCAAUUUGAUGUGAAACUUAAAGCAGAUAUUGGACCCAUUUGGUGGAGCUAACCGUGGCCUUUUGUAACCGACUCUGUGUUAUGUUCCCUCGCAGGCAGCGAGCGACAGCAGUUGGGGAAACACAGCGGGUCGUGUUGGCGGAAGGCCGGACACUGUGAUCGAGUGUAAUUCACUGCUUAGUAUGGAGAGAAAACCAAAAGAGUAUGAGCAAAACAGAAGCCGUGUUAAGAUUUUCUAACACGCCGUUCCGCAGAAUGCUGCCACCCGUGUCUUUAGGGGAAAAAAGGGGGCUAUUGGUAUUCCUCUUCAGGAUGCUGGUUAAGAGCUCCUAGCUACAAGCCGCACACAGAGUCACUGAUGAUGGACGCCCGCGGGGCCGUCACAGAGCCACACAGGAGCGUGGACACCAACGAUGCCGGAUGGGGCUUGUGUUUAUCUGCUGGAGCAUCCAUCACUUGGCCGUAGGAGUUCCAAAUCAGCUCCUUGUAAGUGGAGAUUUAUGCUGUAAUGCAUCAAAUCAACAGACCUUUACAGUAAAAUAUGACUUUAUCAAUAGGCCUGAUCAAUAGUGCAUGCAAGACAGUGUAAUUAUUACAGAGGUCUAUAUCAAUAAAACUGUCAUGCAUGACCUCCUGCCAAAGGCUACGGAGCUGUGAGUCACAGACAGUGGAAGAAAGGUUUGUGUCAUAGCCCUGAGAUGUUCGAUUACCUGUACAGUAUAUACGGUCUUGAAUGUACGUACUCAUCAGGACACGCUCACCUCGAGUCAGGCGAGGAAAGUUUUUUCAGCUGGGACAACUGUAUGUAUGUCUAUUGGAUUUCAUUCACCAAUUAAAACUACUGGGUCUAUUUAGAUACAGAUGUGCUUUGUUUUCUUGCACCUCUGCCGACAUUACCGAUAAUAACCUUUAGAGCUGGGGAUAACGGCCUUUACUGUAGUGGGUCUAAGAGUGGAGGAAAGACUGUAAAGAGAGCAUUGUAUUACACUAAAUCGAGAGCACUCUGCAUUAACACACACACACACACGCACAUCUAGUACACUAGAGAGAGAGCGUGAGGCAGGGACCAAUGAGGCAGUUUAUAUCGGGAUUUUGUUUCACAGCCACGGCCUCCUGGGAGAGAGGGGUCUGCCAAUAACACUUAAGAGACAGAGCAGGAAAAGUAAGUGCUUUUAUUACAGCUCAUCACUCAUGUAAUUUCUGGCAGCAUUUGUGAUUACAGAUCAAGUGAUUGACUAACUACACAUUCGGCAGCUGAGUUAUGAACUGGGUGCCUACCAUUCCAGCCCCGGCAGAUUCUCCGUGUCAGCUGUAACUCAUCCUCACCCACAGUGCUAAAUCAAAGAGCACACUGCGGCCGGAAGAGUUAAAUAAUAACUUGAGCUUUAUUGUAAAUCUUUCAGAGAUUCAACCUGUGUGGACGUCAUCUUGGCUCUGAUGUCGUACUGCAUGGGGUAAAGAAGAUGGUUGGAGGGGAUCAAUAGAAGGCCAGAUGGAGAUAUUGAUGGAUGACAGGUAAGGUGUGCGUGUGCUUGGGGUCGUGUGUGUGAAGGUAAGAUGACAUGUGUGUGUCUGUGUGUGUGUGUAUGAGGGGUGGGAUUGAAUCACCCUGUGUUAGGUUAGGUUAGGUUGAGAGCACAGCCCAGGGCGUCUAAUCGACAGGUCUCACCUUGAAUUGAUCAGCCCGAGUCUCACAGGGCAAAGAUGUGAUACACACGACCAACACUUUCUCACAUACAGCAAAACAAACCAUAGGGAGUGUAGGCAACAACAGGGUGGGCGGAUGGACGAUGUCGAUUAGUAUCGCUGCCAGUGUGUUGUCAGUGUUUGAUUUGGGAAUUCGUAAUAAACUCCAAAAAUUUAGAAGCAUUUUAGUUUUGCUUCUUCUUGAACACCAUUUUGUGACCCUUAAAAUACUUUUGUUUCGAUUCCGAUACAAACAAAAACAUUUUGGUUUUACCCUUAAACACUGGGAUCAAGGAAAUAAAUAGGUUUGAAGGGAAGAUGUAUUCAUGUCAGUUGAAAUGAAAACCACGGUCAAGUUCACAUAGAGACUAAACACAGGGGUCUUAGUAUAGGAGUCUUAGUAUAGCAUAAAGAAAAAAAAAAUAUAGCAAUAUGCUAUAUCUUUUUUAUAUAGCAAUAAAAAAGAUAGCAUAUUACAAUAUGAACAAGGUUAUCGUAUAGGAUUUCAAAACAAAGUAAUAAAGCAGUCACACUAUUCUGUUUCAUAAAAAUGUCAUAAUAUGACAUGUCAUGAAAUGCCCUUUAAAUUCAUAAAUAUCAGUGGCAUUUUUGUAUGUCAUACGAAUCUUUAAAAAAAAACAAAGUAUUCUACGUCUUGAAAAGUCCAUACAUGAACGUAUAGUUCUAAUAAAAGUCAGAGUAGUUUAUUUUUACAAAAAAAAAAUCCAUUGGAACUAUUAGUAUAUGUCUUAGGAAUGUCAUUUGUAGUAUAUCAUUUUAGUACGCAUCAUGGAAAGAGAUGUCUGUCAUAAAAAUUCUGGAAAAAUGUUAUAGUACAUCAUAAAUAAGUUAUAGUGUUGCAUAUGAUAAAAAAGAAAGUUUUCACAAAAGGUCACAGUAUUAAAUGUCAUAUAAAGGUAGUACUAUAAUAUGUCACCCAAUGCCCAAAAAUAUUGUUAUAAAAAUGUGGAAAAGCCACUGUCUACUAACUCCAUGCUGAUGACACAUUUUGAAUUAAAAAAGUGGAUCAAAUUUUCUGCUUCAUGAACCAGUCAUUAUAAGUCUGCAAAACACCACAAAAUGAGUUCAAAAAAAGGUUAAAAAGUUAUACUACACACAUACCCAUGUUGAGUAAAGGCAAAAAAAACUCAACCAUACGCCAUCAAUUUGUUUUAAUUCAUAAAGGAGCCACCAAAUAAUUUGAACUUGAAGUUUAAAGUGUAUGAGACAUUUCUGUCAAAAGAAAAUCCUUCACAGGACUGAAACAAACCAGUUUGCACCGCAAGACCUCAAGGCUGAUGAAGAACCUUGCUCAAAGAAACACAAAUAAACCACAGCACUCAAAGGAAGUUUUGCUUCCUGAAACCAUCUUAUGGUACCUCUGCAGCAACUUGAUUUCCUCACACUCAAAAGAGCUGCAGUCAAUGAGUCAGACUGCAGAGGCAGACAUAAAGACCCUCUUCUGUCUUACCAGAGGCCAAGAUCUAAGGGGGCGGAUCAGAUGAAUUACUCUGGUGCAGAGAAUUAAAUCGUGGAUUCUUCAAAAGUAGUAUCAAAAAAACAAAAAAUGCGUCUGUGUCUCGGAUAGUACAUGAAUAGUUCAGGAGAGGAAAAAGUUGGACGUGUGAUCCCGGGGGAAACGGCGGGGAUGACAUUUUAGCUUUUUGUUCAGGGCUCAGAUCAAGUCAUGGAGGAAAGACUUGUGAACAGGAGACUUGAGCCCACGGAGGUCCACCAAGAGGUCUUGGUUUUGGCCUGGGAAAAAAUUGGGGUCAGCUCCCCCUUUUUGGACCAAUUCAAUCAGAUGGGUAGAUCUUUCCUAAGGAGACAGAGACAAGAAAAAUACCUCAGCCUCAUAACUACUACAUAUAAAAUUGUCAACAUUUAUGCUGACUGGGUCUACUACUGCUACUUGGUUCUGUAAUGAAUGCAUUUUGUUAAUAGAGUUGCCGCUAUUUUCUGUGGAGAUGCAGGUCCAGGAGGCUUGUUCCUGACGCAGGGGCUGGACGUGUGGGGAGUUGGUUAGCCUCUACCGGAAGACAGAAGAGAUAUGACAUUAAAAAGCAAUGAAAACCUUGCUAUGUUGCAAAACAUAUGUCUCAUUGUGUUUUUAUUGAUAUGUUGCGCUAACGUCAGCCCCAAGCUAGCCUCUAUUCAGCAAACAAUGAGUGACUGUCACUGUGUGUCUAUGAGCCCUGCGGAGUGGUUUGCUUUGUUGUUGGCCAGUAAAUCCCAAUAAAGUAUUUGAAUGAAUGGCUAUUUGUUAAACCAUGUAGUCUCAUUUUCUACUUUAACAUAAAAGUACAGGAUAUUCAAAAUAUCAGCAUCCAAGGCAAUCAUUGGCAGAGUGGGUCUGAGGAACACAACAGGAAGUGUAAUGAAACUAUGGCCCCUAUUGCUCUUCAGUCCAAGUGAAGUAACUAAAGGCUCUUCCAGGGGGUUAUUUGUUAAGUAACAGAUGGAACCUUUCCAGUAACCUUCCCAACACUGGACUCAGUGUCCACAGUUGGAUAAAAGGAAACCCCAUUUGACAAUGUUAAAAUAUUUCCGCCCCAAUCUUGGGUAGUACAAUAGUAAGAAUUCAUUCAUGUGUGUACAUUCAUAUUGCAUGUGUAUGUGUCGAGGUGAGAGAAUAACCCUGGUAUGGUUGCCUUCAUCAGUGCACAGUGUAAAUCUAAUUGGCUUUAUUAGGGGGCUUAAAUCUAAUACCAGCUCUGCGUGCAGCAGGCUUCUCUUGGUGUGUGUGUGUGUGUGUGUGCGCCGCAGUUGGAUGUCUACGACUCACCACAUUUCUCAUUGACUGUUUUCGAUGUAACAGUCAUAAGUAAAAAGACUAAUACGGUAAUACAACUCCAUUCCCUCCUCAGCCCCCACCAGGCAAAAAAAGCAUUUAGGGGUUCAAGUCCAAUGAAGCAGCAGCACUGUGGCACUAGAUGUAACGUACAGACUUAAGGCAAGAGAAAAGACUGCGCCGCAACAUUUGACCCCAUUUAAAAACUUGAUACCAAUUAGAGAGUUAUGAGAGUAAAUAAUUUAGGAGACCUCGCUUACUGAACACACACACACAAAUAAUCCUACAGUCAUGCACACACGUACGCAUGAACGUGCAUCGACACGAUCUCACGCAUUAACCUAUGAAGACAUAACGCGCACUCCUAUGCGUGCGCAGACACCGGGGCACACAGACACACACACAUAAAGAUUCCACUAUGCUCUGGAAACAGACUUCUUAAUGAAGCCUUUCCCAAGUGAAAGUAGAGCAGAAAUACACACUGGCCCAUUUCUGCCUUCAGUUCGUCCUCCUCUCAUCGCUCCAUUCCUCUCCCUCACCUUUUCCACAUCAUUUGUUUUAUUCAUGUUUUGUUGUCUCACUCUGUUGUGUCAAUGAGUUAAAUCACAACCCCUAAUUUAUGGCUCCAGGCAGAGACACUGCCACAAACGCGCCGGCUGAUGAGAGGGGGUGACUGAAAACGUACGCGCCGAGCGCCGUGUAAAUCUUAUGACGGCGGUUACUGUCUUUUUAUCUAUGGUUAUUUACAUAGGAAAUGACAACGUGUGCUGAAGAAUGGCUCUGAUACCAAAUGAAAAAGGCUGUGCACUAGAGGAGAGGAAAGUGAGAGAAAGACAGAGUAGGGGAUGGGGGGGGGACGAGAGAGUAAAUCCAGCGACACUGAGUGGGGAGCACUCAGGUGUGGUGAGAGGAUUAUACAAAAACCCUGAGUAUGAAUGACAGUAAACACCUGAAUGACAGAGACGGGGAGGGGAGGGGCGGAGGCCUGUGUGUGUGUUUGUGUGUGUGUCUCUAGGAGGUGUGAGUGAAUGUCGCCACUCAAUGCUGCGAGGGCUCUACUGUUUACUAAAGUGCAACUUGUUUUGCUACAGCAAGAAACUGAAACAAAUUUAAGAAAAGGACGUGUUGGAAUAAGGAUGUCACGAGGCAGGAAGGUGAUGAUAUCAAUCAGGAGCGAUCCACUGAGAAUUCAGGAGCUGUUUGGUUAGCUAGUGAAUUAUAUAUUAAGCUAUACAGCAUGCAAGUAGGUAAAUAAAAGGACUGGAGAGCAGGAAAGAGGAUACAUGUUUUAUCUUACUUCUCUCUCGUGCAUCAGUAUGAGAUCACUGAAAAGGUCCCUGAAACGCAACACAUUCCCUGUAUUCUCUACAACACAAACACACAAAUCAGCCCCUCCGAUUAACCCUUUUUGUCUUAUGUCAUCAAAUUCUUUAUUUCACGACUGUUUAAUUGCCUUGUUACCUUUAAAACAUUUUUUUUCCAAUCAGAGAUUGUGUGUCAAUUUCUAUUUUCAUGCAACUGGGUAAGCUGAAGGCUUUUAAAAAAAAAAAAGCGUAUUUCUUUGCAAGCCACGAGAAGGAGUGCCAACACCGGCCUCCUCUUGUGUAAUGCUACCAUGCUUUUUUAAACUUUGGCUUUAGGUUCCAUUCAAAAGGGAGCAAUGCGUGUCGAUUCCUAGAUCUGCUCUUAGUGAAAUCCCUCACCUCUGGAGCUAUAUCACUGUACAGUGCUGACUCUACAUGAAGCGUGACCUCGUUUCCCCCUCGGCGACCCCCUCCUUCCCUUCACAGUCUUGGAAGAUAGAGCAGCACAGGGGAAACGCAUGCCAAGGCUGUAGACACUUUUAAGCAAAGAUUAAAGGUUUUUCUUUUUAAUCAGUCAUUUGGCAGCAAUGUUAGCCUUUCACCAUAGUGCAGCUAAGGAUCAAUUUUUAAUGCUGCUGUGCAGAGAGCAGACAGGGUGAUUGGCAAGAGAGAAGCUAUUUACAAAGGAUCUAUUUACAAAUUUCCAAUAGAAAUAUGCAGAGGGCACAAUUGACAUCUCUUACAGAAUUUUAAAGAAGCUCUUUUCCUCUCUUUCGUCAUGAGGCACGACCUCUGUGAGCCCCUGAUGAUCACUGUUCUCCCUGUGUGUAAGAGAGCAUGUGUGUGUUCACUCUCAUGCGUCUCACAUGUACUGUAAGAACAAUAAAGGCAUCUACACCUC